rnacentral:rRNA from 1 species
GGGUUGUGAGGUUAAGCGACUAAGCGUACACGGUGGAUGCCCUGGCAGUCAGAGGCGAUGAAGGGCGUGCUAAUCUGCGAUAAGCGCCGGUAAGGUGAUAUGAACCGUUAUAACCGGCGAUACCCGAAUGGGGAAACCCAGUGUGACUCGUCACACUAUCAUUAACUGAAUCCAUAGGUUAAUGAGGCGAACCGGGGGAACUGAAACAUCUAAGUACCCCGAGGAAAAGAAAUCAACCGAGAUUCCCCCAGUAGCGGCGAGCGAACGGGGAGGAGCCCAGAGCCUGAAUCAGCAUGUGUGUUAGUGGAAGCGUCUGGAAAGGCGCGCGAUACAGGGUGACAGCCCCGUACACAAAAGCGCAUGUGCUGUGAGCUCGAUGAGUAGGGCGGGACACGUGGUAUCCUGUCUGAAUAUGGGGGGACCAUCCUCCAAGGCUAAAUACUCCUGACUGACCGAUAGUGAACCAGUACCGUGAGGGAAAGGCGAAAAGAACCCCGGCGAGGGGAGUGAAAAAGAACCUGAAACCGUGUACGUACAAGCAGUGGGAGCACCCUUUGGGUGUGACUGCGUACCUUUUGUAUAAUGGGUCAGCGACUUAUAUUCUGUAGCAAGGUUAACCGAAUAGGGGAGCCGGAGGGAAACCGAGUCUUAAUUGGGCGUUAAGUUGCAGGGUAUAGACCCGAAACCCGGUGAUCUAGCCAUGGGCAGGUUGAAGGUUGGGUAACACUAACUGGAGGACCGAACCGACUAAUGUUGAAAAAUUAGCGGAUGACCUGUGGCUGGGGGUGAAAGGCCAAUCAAACCGGGAGAUAGCUGGUUCUCCCCGAAAGCUAUUUAGGUAGCGCCUCGUGAAUUCAUCUCCGGGGGUAGAGCACUGUUUCGGCUAGGGGGCCAUCCCGGCUUACCAACCCGAUGCAAACUGCGAAUACCGGAGAAUGUUAUCACGGGAGACACACGGCGGGUGCUAACGUCCGUCGUGAAGAGGGAAACAACCCAGACCGCCAGCUAAGGUCCCAAAGUCAUGGUUAAGUGGGAAACGAUGUGGGAAGGCCCAGACAGCCAGGAUGUUGGCUUAGAAGCAGCCAUCAUUUAAAGAAAGCGUAAUAGCUCACUGGUCGAGUCGGCCUGCGCGGAAGAUGUAACGGGGCUAAACCAUGCACCGAAGCUGCGGCAGCGACACUGUGUGUUGUUGGGUAGGGGAGCGUUCUGUAAGCCUGUGAAGGUGU